UACGUAGGGUGCAAGCGUUGUCCGGAAUUAUUGGGCGUAAAGAGCUCGUAGGCGGUUUGUCGCGUCUGCUGUGAAAACCCGGGGCUUAACCCCGGGCUUGCAGUGGAUACGGGCAGGCUGGAGGCAGGCAGGGGAGAACGGAAUUCCCGGUGUAGCGGUGAAAUGCGCAGAUACCGGGAGGAACACCGGUGGCGAAGGCGGUUCUCUGGGCCUGUACUGACGCUGAGGAGCGAAAGCGUGGGGAGCGAACAGG
rnacentral:rRNA from 1 species